rnacentral:rRNA from 1 species
GACGAACGCUGGCGGCGUGCCUAAUACAUGUAAGUCGAACGCUUUGUUAGUCACCAGAGCCUGCUCCAUCGAAAAUCAAAGAGUGGCGGACGGGUGAGUAACACGUGGGCAACCUGCCCAACAGAGGGGGAUAACACUUGGAAACAGGUGCUAAUACCGCAUAAUUUGUUUUUCCGCAUGGAAGAAUAAUAAAAGACGCUUCGGUGUCACUGUUGGAUGGGCCCGCGCUGCAUUAGUUAGUUGGUGGGGUAACGGCCUACCAAGACCAUGAUGCAUAGCCGACCUGAGAGGGUGAUCGGCCACACUGGGACUGAGACACGGCCCAGACUCCUACGGGAGGCAGCAGUAGGGAAUCUUCGGCAAUGGACGAAAGUCUGACCGAGCAACGCCGCGUGAGUGAAGAAGGUUUUCGGAUCGUAAAACUCUGUUGUUAGAGAAGAACAAGUGAGAGAGUUACUGUUCUCACCUUGACGGUAUCUAGCCAGAAAGCCACGGCUAACUACGUGCCAGCAGCCGCGGUAAUACGUAGGUGGCAAGCGUUGUCCGGAUUUAUUGGGCGUAAAGCGAGCGCAGGCGGUUUCUUAAGUCUGAUGUGAAAGCCCUCGGCUCAACCGAGGAAGGUCAUUGGAAACUGGGGAACUUGAGUGCAGAAGAGGAGAGUGGAAUUCCAUGUGUAGCGGUGAAAUGCGUAGAUAUAUGGAGGAACACCAGUGGCGAAGGCGACUCUCUGGUCUGUAACUGACGCUGAGGCUCGAAAGCGUGGGGAGCAAACAGG